rnacentral:rRNA from 1 species
CCUACGGGAGGCAGCAGUGAGGAAUAUUGGUCAAUGGGCGGGAGCCUGAACCAGCCAAGUCGCGUGAGGGAAGACGGUCCUACGGAUUGUAAACCUCUUUUGCCGGGGAGCAACGGGGUCCUUGCGAGGGCCCGAUGAGAGUACCCGGAGAAAAAGCAUCGGCUAACUCCGUGCCAGCAGCCGCGGUAAUACGGAGGAUGCGAGCGUUAUCCGGAUUUAUUGGGUUUAAAGGGUGCGCAGGCGGAAGAUCAAGUCAGCGGUAAAAUUGAGAGGCUCAACCUCUUCGAGCCGUUGAAACUGGUUUUCUUGAGUGAGCGAGAAGUAUGCGGAAUGCGUGGUGUAGCGGUGAAAUGCAUAGAUAUCACGCAGAACUCCGAUUGCGAAGGCAGCAUACCGGCGCUCAACUGACGCUCAUGCACGAAAGUGUGGGUAUCGAACAGGAUUAGAUACCCUUGUAGUC